rnacentral:lncRNA from 1 species
AUGAGUUGGGCCCUCCUACAAACUUGCCUGCUGGCCAAUCUGAUGGAGGUAAGCAGAGCAUCUCCCUCCUGCCUACUGAACAAGGUGGCUGCCUGCACUUCACAGUUGUGUUCCAGUCCUCUGCCAAAUGGGAGCAUCUUGCCUGGGAAGCUAUGCUCCCCUUCUCAAACAAGACCUUGACUGGGGCGUGCUGGCCACAAAAGCCUGGUGCCCUAUGCUUCAAGGUGGGACUAACUCAGGUGCGGUGCAAGCAUUGGUUUGGCCGGAAGUGGAUUCUAUCAGUUGGCGCUCACAUGGAGCACUUCAUAGCUUCUCUCUGGUAUGUGCCUCACUUUCGUCACUAUUCUUACUAUGACAAUGGAUCGGAAAACCUCGGGGACUGCUAAGGGAGCCAGAGGCACACAGUGUGGACAUGCUGAACAAGGGGAUGACUCACAUCCUACGCAAGACGUGACAGGGCAGCGUGGAAUGUCAUCACCCUCCUCAGAACAGUGCGCAUUUAGACCCCCAUGACUUGCUUUCCUGGAACUUCCCACAUGAUGUUUUCAAGCCAUGGCUGACCACAGCAGCUGACACUGUAGGUGAAGAAGACAAUAACAAUACAGGGGAAGGGGUGGGGAUGGAACUGAGGCAUGAGGAAGCGAGAGCAGAGGGAAAUGCAGAGCUGCGUCAGGGAAUAAACCACAAAUGGUAACAAUCAGAAGAAGAAAAAAAAAGCCUCUGUGUGUUCCGUUUUUGUCUCCUUUUGAAAGACAUAAGUCAAAUAAAGUAACUUUUAC